GUUCAGUGAAUACCCGUCGUUGCCGGCGGCCAUUUGAGUCCGAUUCUGGUAGCAACGGCUAUCCCGAUGGAGGCCUAUUGUUGUCGGCGGCCAUUUGAGUCUGUUUCUGGCGGCGACGGUCUUCAGAUUUCUCCAUGGUUCAAUUCUCGAAAUCAGAGUUGUAUCCGAUUAAAUUAUUCGGGUGAACCACCGAAAUAAUUUGAUCUGAGAGUGAUUACACGCCUCUCUGAUCGUCCGGAAAACCGAAAUUCCCCAACAUUUUAUACUAUUAGAGCUUUUGGUAUAAUGCAUGACUUCUCUAAUUUGAGAACUCUUUGGAUCUGUAAAGCCUAAAGAAUUUCUGGUGUAAAACCCUAAGUCUACUAUGAAUUUCUAGGGGUGGAGUUUAAUUGUUGAUAUCCAGUAAUCUUGAUUAUUGGGUUCUGAAAUAUGAAAUCCGGUGAUCAUGAAGUUGUAAAGGUGGAAUCUUUGCAUGUUAGGAACUUAAAUAUCAAGAUUUAGAAUUGGAACUUUGAUCGUCUUGCUGUUAUGAAACCCUAAUAGGUCGUUGUUCUUGAAUGGGGUCUUUGAUUUGUGUUGUUGUAGUCUUUGUAUCUGAAUGGGGAAUUUGAUUGUACCAUUGUAUUGAAACCGUAAGUUAGUCUUUGUUUUUGCAACCUCCGUUGCAGCCAUUAUCAACCAGUUGAAUUUCACCCGACCUGUUGGAAUUAAGGGUAUAUGGAACUGAAAGCUAUAUUUGGUUGUUGCGUACCGAGUUUGUUUGCUGGCUAUGAUGACUUUGGUAAAAAAAAGUUUAGGUUUGAUGUUGCAUAGCAAGGAUGGCGAGUGCAGUGUUUGCUACUAGCAAUCUGUUAUGCAGCUAUGACAACCUCAAUACCUAUUCUGAGCCUUCUACUACAAGUUAUUAAAAAACCAAAACGAGUUCCAGUUCCAUAAACGACCUCAUUAAAAUGAGUGAAUCAUUUCUGUUUGAAUGGAUCAGUAAAAAUGGAAAGAAGGGUUUCACGUAACUUCAAUGACUGCAACUAGCAGUCGUUGGGGUGUUGUGACGUCAACAAACGCAGGAUUUUUUUACCAGACCGGCUCGGUUUGUAAAGUAGCCGAGGCCAGCUCCGGGGAAGUUCCGCCGACUGCGUUGGCGCGUCAACCCUAUCAAUCGAAAGCCUAGAUCACCGUGAAGCUCAUGGUGACGAUCGUUUAUCUGAUUACAAGGCGGUGGUGGCUCAAUUGAGACCUCAGACAGUCGGCGGCUACGGUUCAUGACUCUAAGGUGAUGACGGAGACGAUGUAGGUUAAGUUUCAGGCGAUCAAUGGUGUCAAACGUUGGUCGUUCAGAACAAAUGGACGGUCGGCGACGGUCAAAACAAGGGAACACAUUUUGGUCACCUAUGGUUUAGGGUUUUCACCGUACCGACGAUUAGGAAGGCGACAUGUUUGUUCUUAGGUUUUGCAUUUUGGUACUGGUGAUGAUAAGUUUUGCCUCCAGAAGAAAAUGAUAGUUUCAUAACCAUGUCGUCGCACACGCAUUUUCUCCAGCAACGCCUCCAGUGACAGGAAAAGCUACAGAUGUUAUGCUACUGGAGAGGUUGCAAAGUAAAGGAAAUGAGCUACUACGGGACCACUAUGUAAAGACCGAGCUUUUCACCGCUGAGCUCAUGGUAUCAGUCAAACCGUUUACCAGUAAAAUGUGCAGGCAGCAGGCGUGAAGAUCGGAAAACCAACUCACUGACUGACCAACCAAGCUCGGUCAUAGCAUACGGAAGACUGAGCACACCGGCUCCAACCAUGGCUAUGACAUUGUGGAAGGUGGAGCACCACCAUGUGGCAUUGCGUGAUCACGUGACUGGAAGCCAUUUGUCAAUGGCUCGGGCCGU
rnacentral:lncRNA from 1 species